rnacentral:rRNA from 1 species
UCGGGUAAGUUCCGACCUGCACGAAUGGCGUAAUGAUGGCCAGGCUGUCUCCACCCGAGACUCAGUGAAAUUGAACUCGCUGUGAAGAUGCAGUGUACCCGCGGCAAGACGGAAAGACCCCGUGAACCUUUACUAUAGCUUGACACUGAACAUUGAGCCUUGAUGUGUAGGAUAGGUGGGAGGCUUUGAAGUGUGGACGCCAGUCUGCAUGGAGCCGACCUUGAAAUACCACCCUUUAAUGUUUGAUGUUCUAACGUGGACCCGUAAUCCGGGUUGCGGACAGUGUCUGGUGGGUAGUUUGACUGGGGCGGUCUCCUCCUAAAGAGUAACGGAGGAGCACGAAGGUUGGCUAAUCCUGGUCGGACAUCAGGAGGUUAGUGCAAUGGCAUAAGCCAGCUUGACUGCGAGCGUGACGGCGCGAGCAGGUGCGAAAGCAGGUCAUAGUGAUCCGGUGGUUCUGAAUGGAAGGGCCAUCGCUCAACGGAUAAAAGGUACUCCGGGGAUAACAGGCUGAUACCGCCCAAGAGUUCAUAUCGACGGCGGUGUUUGGCACCUCGAUGUCGGCUCAUCACAUCCUGGGGCUGAAGUAGGUCCCAAGGGUAUGGCUGUUCGCCAUUUAAAGUGGUACGCGAGCUGGGUUUAGAACGUCGUGAGACAGUUCGGUCCCUAUCUGCCGUGGGCGCUGGAGAACUGAGGGGGGCUGCUCCUAGUACGAGAGGACCGGAGUGGACGCAUCACUGGUGUUCGGGUUGUCAUGCCAAUGGCACUGCCCGGUAGCUAAAUGCGGAAGAGAUAAGUGCUGAAAGCAUCUAAGCACGAAACUUGCCCCGA